rnacentral:lncRNA from 1 species
UGGGGGUGGGGGUGUCGGUGUGGGCAUGGCCAUGGGGUGGGGGCUCUGGGGGUGCACACGGGUGGCCGUGGGUGCAGGGGGCUGCGGUGCCACGCUGCGCCGUGCCAGGCAGUACCGUGCUGUGGUACCGUGCCGUGCCAUGCUGUGCCGUGCCAUGCCGUGCCAUGGUGUGCCAUGCUGUGCCGUGCCGUGCCAUGCUGUGCCAUGUGGUACCGUGUGGUACUGCGCCGUGCCGUGCCAUGCCAUGGUGUGCCAUGGUGUGCCGUGCCAUGCCGUGCCAUGCGGUGCUGUACGGUGCCAUGCCAUGCCGUGCGGUACUGUGCUGUGCCAUGCUGUGCCAUGGUGUGCCGUGCCGUGCCAUGCCAUGCUGUGCCGUGCCAUGCUGUGCGAUGCUGUGCCAUGUGGUACCGUGUGGUGCUGCGCCGUGCCGUGCCGUGCCAUGGUGUGCCAUGCUGUGCCAUGCCGUGCCAUGCUGUGCCGUGCCAUGCGGCACCGCACUGUGCCAUCCUGUGUGGUGCCAUGCUGUACCAUGCCAUGGUGUGCCGUGCCAUGCUGUGCCAUGCCGUGCCGUGCCAUGCCAUGGUGUGCUGUGCCGUGCCAUGCUGUGCCAUGUGGUACCGUGUGGUACUGCGCCGUGCCGUGCCAUGCUGUGCCAUGCCAUGCCAUGGUGUGCCACGCGGUGCCGUGCCAUGCCGUGCCAUGCUGUGCCAUGCGGCACCGCACUGUGCCAUCCUGUGUGGUGCCAUGCUGUGCUGUGCCAUGCUGUGCCACGCCGUGCCAUGGGGUACCACACUGUGCCACGCAGCACUGUGCUGUGCCAUGCAGUACCACACCGUGCCGUGCUGUGCCACAUGGUACCACACUGUGCCACGCAGUACUGUGUCGUGCCACGCUGUGCCACGUGGUACUGCACUGUGCCAUGCGGUACCACACUGUGCCAUGCAGUACCGCGUCAUGCCAUGCUGUGCCACGUGGUACCAUGCCAUGCUGCACUGUGCCACGCAGCACCACACCGUGCCAUGCGGUACCGUGCUGUGCCAUGCCGUGCCAUGUAGCACCAUGCCACGCCACGCCAUGCCACACCGUGCCAUGCAGUGCCACCCUGUGCCACCUGGUUUGGGGCCAUUUCAUGGCUUUUCCGGAGCCAGCUCUGAGCAGCCUGGGGGCACCCCCGUGGUGCCACCUCCCCAAAUUGUCCCGGGUCCUGGCAGUGCCAAACCAGACCUGGAGCUGGGACGCAGCCAGGACCUCACCGGGACCGCAUCCCCCAAAUCCUGGUGGUGCCGGGGCUCAGCCUGCGGCACAGCCACGCGGUGCCCGGUGCCCGGUGCCCAGGGCAGGGCUGGUGCUGCUCCCGCUCCGUCCCCCGAUGCGAGCGGUGCAGCCGCGGCCUUGGCGAUGCCCCCCCCCGUGCCCUGGCCCCCCCCGGGGCCGGCGGCUCCGGGGAACCCCCGCCCCCGGGCCCCCCUUGGCCCCCCGUCUCCCUGACCCGCGGCGGCGCUUGGGGGGGGACCGCGGGCGGCGCGUUUUUGGGGGGCUUUUGGGGGGGGGGGGUCCUGGCUCUGUGGCUGCGCCCCGGGGUCACCUCCUGCCCCCCAGCCCCGCUGGUGCCGCGUCCGCCUGGUGGCACCGAGCUGGUGCCCGCUCCCUGUCCUUGUCCCCAUCCCCAUGUCCCAGCCCGGUUCCUCCAGUGGUGCCGGGGUGGCCGGGGGGGGUCACGGAGCCCCUCGCACCCACCCGGCGCCCCCCAGCCUCUGCUUUCUGCCAGGUUCUCCCCCCAAAUGCCGCCUUUUUGUGGUUUUAGGGUGAGCGAGGCGCCGCCCCUCUGGCCCUGGGAGCAUGGCGGGGCCGGUGCCCAGCCGGGCCAGGGUCUACGCGGACGUCAACACGCAGAGACCCCGCGAGUACUGGGACUACGAGUCGCACGUGGUGGAGUGGGGGUACGCUCCCUUCAGCCCCCCCCCCUCGGGUGACCCCCUCCGUGCGUCCUCCCCGUGGCCAUGGGCACGGUUCUCUCCUGGCCCCCUGCAUGGAGCAUUUUUUCCUGCACCCCCUUGGGUGGCCGAGACCCUUCCCACCCUUCCCACCACGGCUCGGCUGCCCCCCCCUCAUCGCCUCUUCCUUUUCCCCCCCCGGCAGCAACCAGGACGAUUACCAG